UACGAAGGGGGGCUAGCGUUGUUCGGAAUUACUGGGCGUAAAAGCGCACGUAGGCGGAUCGAUCAGUCAGGGGGUGAAAAUCCCCAGGGGCUCAACCCCUGGAACUGCCUUUUGAUACUGUCGAUCUGGAGUAUGGAAGAGGUGAGUGGAAUUCCGAGUGUAGAGGUGAAAAUUCGUAGAUAUCGGAAGGAACAUCAGUGGCGAAAAGCGGCUUCCUGGACCAGUACCGACGUUCAGGCACGAAAGCGUGGGGAGCAAACAGG
rnacentral:rRNA from 1 species